CCAAGAAAUCAUCUUUUGUCUUCCAUUCCUUCACAAAAGAGUUAGCAUUCAAGGUGAAGAACACCUUGUUCAUUUCAUUACGAGGAGCUAAAGGCUAGGAAGGAAAUCAGACUAGAGGAGUUAAGGAGAAAGCCACCGAUCGAGGAUGAGCAAGAGACCGAUGGACGCAUGCGAGGAGACGCCGCAAGGAAAUGAUGUGACGACGAGCUAGCGAUUCAGAGAUUAGUCGUGUGGAGAUUACGGGGAGCUCGGUGGGCAUAUGAGCCUUUUAGUUUAUUUUCCUUUUGGAGUAUAUGUUGUAAUUAUAUACAUUGAUGUAAGGGUACUUAUUAUUGGGUAUUUAUUACUCAUCGUAGAGCAUGUU